AACUUUCAACAACGGAUCUCUUGGUUCCAGCAUCGAUGAAGAACGCAGCGAAAUGCGAUAAGUAAUGUGAAUUGCAGAAUUCAGUGAAUCAUCGAAUCUUUGAACGCACAUUGCGCCCCCUG
rnacentral:rRNA from 1 species